CGACGGUUUCUUGCUGGGAAAUCCCAACGUCCUUCGAUUUAAAAGAAAAGAAAAUAUACUGUUUAAAUGGUGCUCGAAAAAGAGAAGCCAAAUUUCGGUUGUUGCGAAGGGGGGGGGGCAUCUUAUACGUUUGGGAGCUUCAACUUCCGCAGGGUAUAUAAGGCGAGCAAGCUUUACCUGCCGCAGUCGUACCGAUCGAAGAGCACAAGACUGCAGGAGAGGAAAGCAACUGAUUUUUCACCAUGAACAAGGGAAUUCUUAUCUUGUUGGUGUUGGUUGUCGUUUGCGCGAUGGUAACAAUAGCGCAAAACGAAUUUGCUGAAUUACCGCAAGCGGAAUUCGAUUUGGACGGUGACGCCAGUCGACGGGCUCGUUACUACCGGCCGCAACGGAGACGCGGUAGUCGUUUCCCCGCUUGGCUUUUCGGUUGAAUAACGUGACGAAUGAAUCAUCAUUUGUCUGGCAGCCUUGUUAUAUGGCUCCGAUAUGUGGCUCCCAACUAAUCCAGCGGGAAUCAUUCCUUUAAGAUUUGUGUAUGUUUGUUAACCUGUUUUUGUUUGUGUGGCCAUGUCCAUCGUUGAGAUACUCAAUACAUAUUUGGUGAACGUUUAA